rnacentral:rRNA from 1 species
UGGGGAAUUUUGGACAAUGGGGGAAACCCUGAUCCAGCCAUCCCGCGUGUGCGAUGAAGGCCUUCGGGUUGUAAAGCACUUUUGGCAGGAAAGAAACGUCAUGGGUUAAUACCCCGUGAAACUGACGGUACCUGCAGAAUAAGCACCGGCUAACUACGUGCCAGCAGCCGCGGUAAUACGUAGGGUGCAAGCGUUAAUCGGAAUUACUGGGCGUAAAGCGUGCGCAGGCGGUUCGGAAAGAAAGAUGUGAAAUCCCAGAGCUCAACCUUGGAACUGCAUUUUUAACUACCGGGCUAGAGUGUGUCAGAGGGAGGUGGAAUUCCGCGUGAAGCAGUGAAAUGCGUAGAUAUGCGGAGGAACACCGAUGGCGAAGGCAGCCUCCUGGGAUAACACUGACGCUCAUGCACGAAAGCGUGGGGAGCAAACAGG